rnacentral:rRNA from 1 species
AACGAACGCUGGCGGCGUGCCUAACACAUGCAAGUCGCACGAGAAAGUCCUUCGGGAUGAGUAGAGUGGCGCACGGGUGAGUAAUGCAUGGGAACGUGCCUCUAAGAGGGGGAUAACUACGGGAAACUGUAGCUAAUACCGCAUAAUAUCGAGAGACUAAAGGUGGCCUCUGGUUGCAAGCUACUAAUUAGCGAUUGGCCCAUGUCCCAUUAGCCAGUUGGCGGGGUAACAGCCCACCAAGGCUACGAUGGGUAGCUGGUUUUAGAGGAUGAUCAGCCACACUGGAACUGAGACACGGUCCAGACUCCUACGGGAGGCAGCAGUGGGGAAUUUUGCACAAUGGGGGAAACCCUGAUGCAGCAACGCCGCGUGAGUGAUGAAGGCCUUUGGGUUGUAAAGCUCUUUCGGUUGGGAAGAAGGGUGGUAUGGCUAAUAUCCAUAUUAUUUGACGGUACCAAAAGAAGAAGCACCUGCUAACUUCGUGCCAGCCGCCGCAGUAA